rnacentral:rRNA from 1 species
CAGUAGCCGCGGUAAUACGGAGGAUCCAAGCGUUAUCCGGAUUUAUUGGGUUUAAAGGGUGCGUAGGCGGCUUAUUAAGUCAGGGGUGAAAGGCGGUAGCUUAACUAUCGGAGUGCCCUUGAUACUGAUGAGCUUGAAUGCAGCUGAGGUAGGCGGAAUGUGACAAGUAGCGGUGAAAUGCAUAGAUAUGUCACAGAACACCGAUUGCGAAGGCAGCUUACUGAAGUGCGAUUGACGCUGAGGCACGAAAGCGUGGGGAUCAAACAGGAUUAGAUACCCCAGUAGUCCAUGUCUCUUAUAC